GACGAACGCUGGCGGCGUGCUUAACACAUGCAAGUCGAACGGAAAGGCCCUGCUUUUGUGGGGUGCUCGAGUGGCGAACGGGUGAGUAACACGUGAGUAACCUGCCCUUGACUUUGGGAUAACUUCAGGAAACUGGGGCUAAUACCGGAUAGGAGCUCCUGCUGCAUGGUGGGGGUUGGAAAGUUUCGGCGGUUGGGGAUGGACUCGCGGCUUAUCAGCUUGUUGGUGGGGUAGUGGCUUACCAAGGCUUUGACGGGUAGCCGGCCUGAGGGGGUGACCGGCCACUUUGGGACUGAGAACCGCCCCGGCCCCCACCGGGGGGCAGCGGGGGGAAAUUUUGCACAGUGGGCGGAGCCCUGAUCCGCCACCGCCGGGGGCGGGAGGAGGGCCUCGGGGUUGAAACCCGUUUCCCCUGGGCACGAGGCGUGAGUGACGGUAAUGGGAAAAAAAGCCCCGGCUAACUCCGUG
rnacentral:rRNA from 1 species